CCCUACGGGACGCAGCAGUGGGGGAUAUUGCACAAUGGGGGGAACCCUGAUGCAGCGACGCCGCGUGAGUGAAGAAGUAAUUCGUUAUGUAAAGCUCUAUCAGCAGGGAAGAAUAAAUGACGGUACCUGAGUAAGAAGCCCCGGCUAACUACGUGCCAGCAGCCGCGGUAAUACGUAGGUGGCAAGCGUUGUCCGGAAUUACUGGGUGUAAAGGGAGCGCAGGCGGGAAGCCAAGUCAGCUGUGAAAACUACGGGCUUAACUUGUAGACUGCAGUUGAAACUGGUUUUCUUGAGUGAAGUAGAGG
rnacentral:rRNA from 1 species